rnacentral:rRNA from 1 species
UACGAAGGGGGCUAGCGUUGUUCGGAAUUACUGGGCGUAAAGCGUGCGCAGGCGGCUAUCCAAGUCAGUGGUGAAAGCCCGGAGCUCAACUCCGGAACUGCCAUUGAGACUGUUUAGCUUGAGUACGAGAGAGGUGAGUGGAAUUCCCAGUGUAGAGGUGAAAUUCGUAGAUAUUGGGAAGAACACCAGUGGCGAAGGCGGCUCACUGGCUCGUUACUGACGCUCAUGCACGACAGCGUGGGGAUCAAACAGG